GUGAACGCUGGCGGUAGGCCUAACACAUGCAAGUCGAACGGCAGCACAGUAAGAGCUUGCUCUUACGGGUGGCGAGUGGCGGACGGGUGAGGAAUACAUCGGAAUCUACUUUUUCGUGGGGGAUAACGUAGGGAAACUUACGCUAAUACCGCAUACGACCUACGGGUGAAAGCGGGGGAUCUUCGGACCUUGCGCGAUUGAAUGAGCCGAUGUCGGAUUAGCUAGUUGGCGGGGUAAAGGCACACCAAGGCGACGAUCCGUAGCUGGUCUGAGAGGAUGAUCAGCCACACUGGAACUGAGACACGGUCCAGACUCCUACGGGAGGCAGCAGUGGGGAAUAUUGGACAAUGGGCGCAAGCCUGAUCCAGCCAUACCGCGUGGGUGAAGAAGGCCUUCGGGUUGUAAAGCCCUUUUGUUGGGAAAGAAAAGCAGCAGGUUAAUACCCCGCUGUUCUGACGGUACCCAAAGAAUAAGCACCGGCUAACUUCGUG
rnacentral:rRNA from 1 species